AAGGCUGAGUCCCAGCGCCGCAGGUCCAGCCCGGGGACCCCCCGCCCCCAGCACAGCCCUCCCAACCCCCCUCGCUUCCCCGCCGUCCGGAGGAGGGGCGCUGCGACUCCAGCGGGACUCUGGGCCUCCCCCUCCACGAUUCCCCCGGGACGCGCAGGGCGGGGGCCCCCUCCCCACCCACGCUGGGCCUAGCGAGACGGUGGGAGGGCAGGGGCGAGAUGAAGGACUAAAUUCCCCAGACUAGGAUGCUGCGCAGCUCUUCCUAAACAGGAAGACGAGGCAAUUUGGGCCAGAGAGUCAGAAGUGCCCUGUAACCAGCUUCGCCUCUCUGGGCACCUUUUUGGGGUUCCGCCAACCCCAUCUCCAACCCCAACUCCCAGCCUUGGAGGUCGGGCCGGGGAGCCGCAGGGGGGAUCCUCCGGUGCUCUGGUGCCCUCUAGCGGCCAUAGGCUCUAAAGCCAACUCUCAGUCCUUCCUCCUGCCUCUCUCCCCAGCGCGCCGGGGCUGCCCUGGCCUUCGGCACCUGCCAGCCUGAUUCCAUUCCUCCUCUCCCUCUAAGUGCAAUGAAAUGCCCUACAGAGGUUUAGGAUCUCUCGGAGAAGGUCUUUUAGUCAAUACACUUUAACCCUGAGAACGUUGUUUCUAGAAUAAACCUGAAAUACUGUAUUUUUCUCCAUGUGUUUCCAAGGAGAAACAGCCCAGUGUGUGCUGGGUCCCUCGCUGAGAGCAGUCUCUGGGCAUCCUGUCCUCCCUCUUACGGCGUCCUGGCUUGUUAGGCAGGGAAGGCUCCCAGCGCCGAUGCCUGGGCCUCUCUGAGGGACGCUGACAUGUGGGAUCACGACGGCUCCUGGGAAAGUGGAGAGAGUGAGGGCUGGGCAUCUGGUCUGCAUCAGACCCCAGCGCUGCCCCUACCAGCUGUGUGACCUGGAAACAUUCCCUGACCUCUCUGUGUCUAGCUUUCCAACCGUGACAGAGGAUUGCUGUGCUUGGCACACAGGAGGCCCUCGACCAGAGGAAAAAGCCAGUCUCCCCAAAGAACCACUCCUCUUACAUGCCCAAAGCAAAAGGCAUGUGCCACUCAUCGCAGAGCUGCUCCUUGGCCAGCAGGGCAAGGGCAAUCCAGCAGCUCCUCCCGUCCCUGCCUGAGGGCUUUCGCUCCUCAGUGAGGGUGACUCGGAGCAGGUCUGGCGUCCCAGGAAGUCUGAACUGAGUUUCUGUGACUUGGGGGAGUUCCCUGUUCCACACAACUUGGUUUCCAGAUCGUUCCAACAAGGAACAAGAGCACCUGCUCAGUGUUUCAGCUGCAAGGUCCUCCCUUUAGAAGUUGCUCCAUCACUUUGGGGCUGGGAGAUGUGAACUCCACAGCGCAUGACCAUCUGACUGAUGACUUCAGGGGAAUUGUGCCUGCCCACCGCUGCACUCCGCAUGCCGCCUCCUAGAAGAGGGGUUAGUGAUCCCCGGCCACGUGCAGUUUUAUCAGAACACAGCCCUGGCCACUACUGUAACCACAUGUGUGAGAAAUAGAGGAUCCCGAGUGCCUGGACCCCCGUCACCCAGAAAGCAGAAGUCAGGGCAACAAACAGAAGAGGAGAAAGUACUUGUAGAUCAUAUAUCUGAUAAGGGGUUAACACCCAAAACGUAUAAGGAACUCCUACAACUCAACAGCAAAAAAAUCAAGUAAUCCAAUUGAAAAACAGGCAAAGGAACGGAAUAGACAUUUUUCCCAAGAAGACACACAGAUGGCCAACAGGUACAUGAAAAGAUGCUCAACAUCACUCAUCAUCAGGGAAAUGCAAAUCAAAACCACAAUGAGAUACCUCACACCUGUCAGGAUGGCUGUCAUCAAAUAGACAAGAGAUAACAUAAAAUAAAAAGGACUGUCCUUUGUAUACGAAGGCAGUAGUCCCAGCCCUUCAGCCUCAUUAACGCAGACCCUUUUAGAUGUGCGUUUUACUCUGAUCCAGCCACGCACAUUCACCUGGUUCCUUUCAGGGACACGGGUGUACGAUUUGAAAGGGACCAGCUUCUUUACUGGCUUGUGGUCCCAGAAGAGGGAGGGGGACCAGGUGGUGAUGAGUGACCCUCAUGAAACAUUCUAACGCAUGUCUUUAUCGCCACCAGCAGACCCCUUCCUCCACACUUUUAAGAAGCUGGAACUUCAUCCUUUAUCUUGGCCCUCACACUUCUGUACACUACUAAAUGACACUAUUUUUUCUUUUUAACCUUAUAAGGAUGCAUCCUCUUCUGGAAUUCCUCAAAUCACAAAGUCUCACUCUCAAGUUCUUGAAAAUGAGAGCGGUUCCUGAAAGGCAGGUAAAGCAACUGAGGACAAAAGAAAAUCGUAAAUCGUUUAUCAGUCAGAAGAACUUUGCUAAAAAUGCUAAAGCCAUAAUUUAAGCCUCAUUAGGUGCAAAGCAACCAGAAUAAAAGAUUCAAAUGUGUUUUUAGCUGAAUGGAAAUUCUAAAGUUAAGGAAAAAGAGAUAAAUGGUCUGCAAGUCUUAAAUAGUAGGAUACGUAUACAGAACUCAAAAGUUUUUUUUGUUUGUUUUUGUUUUUUGCAUGAACUUGCCUAAAUAGGACUGUGCUGUUGAUAGAUAACACUUCCUGAUAUUUCCCUGUGAAACCAGAACCGCUAUCUUGCUGACUGAACUAACAGGGGUCACAGGAUUUAAGGGUGCUAAUUGAAUCAAAGAAGGUCAUGGGAUUUAAGGCCGCUGAUAGAUCUAACGGUGGUCACGGGAUUUUAGGAGGCUGCUUGAUCACACAGGGGUCACAGGAUUUAAGGGGGCUAUUUUAAUCAAAAAGGGUCAUGAUAUAAGGGAACUUAAUGAAUCAACAAGGGUCACUCGAUUUAAGGGGGCUGAUAAAUCAAAGGGGGUCUCAGGAUUUAAGGGGCCUGUUUGAUCUACAAGGGUCACGGGAUUUAAGGGGGCUGAUUGAUCGAACGUUUUGUCAAGAAGAAUUGCUCAUGCACAGUUUUAGCUUUCUCUUUUAAAUGUCACAACUGAAUCAAUCAAGUCCAGAGGGAUUUUAUGUGUUUACAGUUCAAGGAAUCUGCAGGGGAAUCCUUUAUUCUGUCUUCAAUGAAAGGUCCAUUCAAAAAGAAUAAACUUUCUAAAAUGUUGAUUUUCCAUCUGGCUCACAACAUCGUAUUUACAACUUUGUAUUUCUUUUGACUUAGAAAACUAGAGCUCUCUCUUCUUGGAAACACAUGGAGAAAAAUACAGUAUUUCAGGUUCAUUCUAGAAACCACCUUCUCAGGGUCAAGGUGUAUUGACUAAAAGAGCUUCUUUCUUCAAGAGGUUCUAAACCUCUGUAGGGCACUUCAUUGUGCUUAAAGGGAAAGGAGGAACAAAAUCAGGCUGGCAGGUGCCCAAGGCCAGUGCAGCCCCCAGGGCUGGGGAGGGAGGCAGGAGGAAGGGCUAAGAGUUGGCCUUAGAGAGAACGGCCGCUAGAGGGCGCCAGAGCACCGGCGGAUCCCACCUGUGGCUCCCGGCCAGACAUCCAGGCUGGGAGACGGGGAUGGAGGAACCCCAAGGACGUGCCCAGAGAGGAGGGGUUGGUAACCGGGCGUUUCUGACUUUCUGGCCCAAAUUGCCUCGCCUCACACAGAGGACAGAGGUCUGCCCCUUCAGCAUCCGACGGGGCACUUCCAGCCUGGUCAGGUGGCCCAGUGGCUGGACAGCCUCACAGGCUGUCUGCGGUGUGACUGCCCUUUGCUUCUCCAGAAGCAAGACUCUGGACCCAGAAAUACCCGGCUUGACUCUUGGGCUUGCAGUUUGCAAGCUGUAAGCCUGCGUGGGUGUUGGCAUCUGGGAAACGGGGCUGGUGGUCCUGUAAAACGUGGAGCCUGUAAAAGCGGUGGUAUUUUGGUGGGUGGGCUGUGCUCAUACCUGUGCCCUUCCUCUCUGAGAGUUUUCCCCCAACUUCCUUCUUCCCUUUCCAUCUGAGCCUCCCCCUCCUGUCCCCACACCCCUUCCCUCAGCAGAAGGUUCUCGCUUAUCCAUCUGUUGUACAUUGAUCCCAGCCUUUACGUCAAAAGUUAUGUUAGGUGCUGGGAUCAAGGAGAAGUUUCCGACUUUUGAAGUUUCAGGCUCGAGAGGCAGAGUGAGUGGAGCCGGGUCACAUGACUAGAAGCCCGCCACCUGCCCUAAAUCCGGGGCACCUGACGUUUAGCGCCCGGGGUGGGGCGAGGAAGGGAACGGAUAAAAGGCCCUGCAAGUGACUGAGGGCCCAGUGCCCCAACGCCCGGAAUGGAGCCCGUGUCCCUGCGGAGCCCGAACUCCCUGCACGGCCUCUCUUUAGUCCAUCCGCCCUAGCUGAGUUGCCCGGGAGGCGGAGGGGAGGGCGGCGCGACGCGGACCCAGUCCACGGCCGCUCGGCCGCUGCGCUAAGACGGACCGCGCCCGCUGAGGCCCCGGCCGCCCCUGGGGCCUCCGGCCAGGGUAAAGUAGUCAUUGGGAGGCAGCCGCCCAGCCAGAAACUACAGUUCCCACAAUGGAUGUGAACAGAAAUGAUGUCUGUGACUUCCAGGCCAGGGUUUUUAAGAAGCAGGUAUGCCUUCUCUACUCUCUGUCUCUAGAUGCAGGAGGCCAGAAGGAUGACAGUAGCAAUAAGACAGAAGAUGCCUAGGCCCACGGAUCAACCACAUGGAGAAUAGCUGUCUGCUGUUCAGCAACACUUGCACUGGACUAUUACAUGGGUGGUCCUGUUGGUUGGGAAUCUUGGUCCUAGCAGUGUGUUUAUUUGGACAGAAUCCUCUCACAGCAAAACAAGCUGAGGUCCCGUGGAGCUCAUCAUCCAUACAUAGAAUCUAUACUGGAUUUGUUGAUGCUGGUGAUGUUUGGCAGAGACUGAAUACCUGGCUUGUAGAAGAAAAUGUACCUCACACUCGGUCUUGCUCUCGUACGUGGAAGGCACACAUGACCGGUGACCAUGUCUUCUGCAUGCCUGGAGAUAAGGCGGCCACAGGACCAAUAGGGACUCCUGGUGGCCAGUGCACCCUUGUACAAAGGAUUGGCCCUAAUUUGGUCAUUUCAGGCAAAGAUGUAACUAUAAACACCACCCUGAAUCCAGAAAUUAAGGUUUCCCAAGCAGUUCUUGGAAGGCAGUUCCUGGCAGCACUAAAACCCCAAAGAAGCAAAGAGAAGCCAAAACAAAAUCCAGAUACCCUUCAUGGAACGUUUGCUUUGUUAUGGAGGGCAGUGCUGCCAAAGAGAAAUGACUUCUCAGGUUUUCCAUAUAUUGUCCCUAAUGGUGUCCCCAGAAAAGUAAACUUGGUGCCACAUAGAUUAAUGUGCUACAAAGUAAGACUGUCCAGGAGCCCUGAGAACGUCUGUGCCCCAUGAGAUGGGAAGGACAGGCAAGCCCACUUCCUAUGUUACCCUGGGUCACUCUACCAUAGGCAGCCUGGGAGUGGGCAGGCACUGGGCCUGAUACCACGGUCCAAAUGGGGUCAGAGUCCCCAUUAAUGUGGCAUGCUCUGGACUGGGUUUGGGCAUUUCUGAAUCAGCAGCCUGAAGAGGUUCUCUAAUUAGACAUGUUAGAAUCAACAGAAUUUGGAGGGAGGGGUAGGGAUGAGAGGACAGGUAAGAGGAAAUAGAGAGGAAACUAAUGCUGAUGGAAUAGCUGCUUGCAUCAGUCAGCUUAUGUAACAAUGAUGAUAGUAAUAAUAAUGGUAUCUUACAUUACUCAGCAUUUACUAUGUUCCAGGCUCCGUUCUAGCUACUUUACAUAUAUUAUCUCAUUUACUCCUUUCCGCAACCUUAUUAUGAAGUGGGUAUUUUUAUUAUUAUCCCUGCUUAUAAGAACCAAGACAUUGAGUACCUUGAUCAAGCAGACACAGCUUGAGAGGGGUGGGAGCAGGAUAUAUAUGUUCAUCACUUCAUUUAAUACUCACAACAACCCGAUGAUAUAGAUUUUCAUCAUCUCCAAUUUACAGGCAAGAAACUAAGGCCCUUGGACCAGCAACAUCAGCAUCACUCAGGAGCUUGUUAGAAAUGCAAAAUCUUUGGCCCCACUUCAAACCUACUGAGGCAGAAUCUGGACAGAACCACCGGUCUAGACCAGAGGGCCCAGCGAGUCCCAAACUUGCACGUGCAUGUAAACCACAAAACUCCUGUUUUUGCAGAAGACCAGUUUUCCUGGUUAUGCAUAUAAAUCAAGAUGAGGAAGCAGAUAUGUUCAUGGAAAAACACCCAAAGGAAAACAGGCAAAACCAGACAAAUCAGUCAUCAAUGUCUCCGAACUCAGAUUCUGUCUUGCCUGUGAAACAGUGUUCAUGGUACAUCUGCUAAAAAGCUGAUGUCCAGUUCGGUGGACUUACAUUCCCUUGAGGACAAAGCCUACACUGAAAUCCUCUUCAGGGGGGAAUCUCAAAGCAGCACUUUCCAUACCGUCUUCUGGGAGAACACAGAAGUCUUCAAAGUCUGCAAGUUCAGAUUGUGGCUGUUCAACAGCUUUCUCCUUGGAGAGGUCAUCUAUUCCUGUCACUUACAUCAGUGGCUCUCCAAGUGUGGUCCUGGACUAGCAGCUGCAGUAUCACCUGGAAACCAGACAGAAAUGCACAUUCUCAGGCCCGGAUCCAGGCAUACAGAAUCAGGUCUUCUGGGGUGGGGCCCAGCAAUCUGUGUUUUAAGAAGCCCCUCAGUUGUUCUGAUGCACGCUAAAGUUUGAGAACCACUUGUUUAAAUGAUCACUUCUAAGCUGUUGACUCCCCAAUCUUUAUCAUUAGCCCUGAUUUUAUACCCACACUUCCCUCUGGUAUUUCAAACUGGAGUGUUUUGUGGAAUGUUACAAAAUGGGAGGAAAAAAAAACAUAGCUCUAUGGUCAAAAAGAAUUUCCAUGGGGGAAUUCCCUGCCCUCCCCCCCCCCCCAAAAAAAAAACCAGUUUCCAUGGUAUUGCAGCAUUUCUUAAGAUUUGACUAUUGGGACCUAUUUCCCAGUGGUUGUGGGAGGAUGCAACAACAGGACGGCGUCACUGGAAAAGAGAUGCAUUGAAAUGGAAUUCAAACUAACAAUAUUGUAAAUCAACUAUACUUCAAUUUAAAAAAAAAAAGGAAUUCAUUAUUGUCCCCUGCUAAACCACCUCUACAGCCUAUUUCUUUUUAAUUUUUUUAAGUUGAAUAUUUUAUUAUUAAACUUUCUUAUUUUCCUGCAAGGCUGUAGCUUCACUGUAUAAAAAUAGCACCAGCAAACACAGUAUGUUGCAAAAUUAAGAUAGUAUUGUUCUUCAUCUGACACUGUACAACUAACAAAAACUUUUCUCCACCUCCAGUUAUUUCCAAUGGGAAGAUCAGUAAGUUUUGGGGGGUUUUUUUUGUUUUUUUUUUUGCAGUACGCGGGCCUCUCACCGCUGCGGCCUCUCCCGUUACGGAGCACAGGCUCCGGAAGCGCAGGCUCAGCGGCCAUGGCUCACGGGCCCAGCUGCUCCGCGGCAUGUGGGAUCUUCCGGAACCGGGUCACGAAGCCGUGUGCCCUGCAUCGGCAGGCGGACUUUCAACCACUGCGCCACUAGGGAAGCCCUCAUCAAGUAUUUUGACCCAAUCCAGGGAUGACUGUAAACUGUUAUAAGGCUUAAUAUAACAAUGUUAUCUUUGAAUUACAUAAUUUUUAUAACUAGUUUUACUACAGAUAAUUUCAGGAAUUCUGAGUAUUGUAAACUGGAGCCUAGCCUAAAAAUCAUAGGGUGCUGUGGAAAAGAUGCAUAGUGUUUAUCUGCAGUCAUUAGGAAGUUAGGGGGUAUUCUGGUAACAUGUUGCAAGUAGUUUCCUUUGCUACAAGUUGCUUUUUAAAAAAUCUAUCCACAACUAAUUUAAGACAACUAUGCUAGAUUGUUUCAUACUAGUUUAUUUAGGGGUUCCAUUUUCACUCAAUAGAUUUUAUGUGUUUCUCAUACGCUUCUUCACUCAUUAGUUCAUCUAGUUCUGAAGGGUUACUGAGUGUCACAUUGAUCCGCCAAUCAUCUUCAUAACAAGAUUUUUGGACAAGCUCUGGAUUUUCUGCCAGAGCUUCAUUAAUUUCAGUUACUUCUGAUGGAGGAAGAAGAGCAGACAAGCAGCUUUCAAACUUUCUAAAGCACCAAACUCCUCUUGUUUGUUCAAUUUUGUCCCAACUUCAGGCAGAUUACAGUAUGCAACAUCUCUCAAAGCUCCCUGUGCAAAAUUGCUGAUUCCCGCUGCUGCAACACCGUUUUCUGUUGUGAUCUGUCCACGUCCGCCUGUGAAUUGACGCGCGGAGAGCGGAGCUGGGACUGGGCGCGGCUCCCCGCAGGGCCAGCGCCCCCAAGGCCCGGGCCGCCGCAGAGAUUGCGCGCGCAGGCGCAGACGGCAGACCUCGGCGCGCACGCCCCGCGCCGCUCGUUGCGCCAAGCACCCGGGCUUCUGGCCUCCCUUUCCUUUCAAACAGACCUCAAAUGUUGGAGUUCUGACUUCCUCUUCUCCCUAUGCAGUCAGCCUCUGAGUUUUAGGGACUCAGUUACGAUAACGUUGAAAGGUUGGAGACCUGACGUGACUUUGGAGCGUGAAGCAAAGCUCUUGUUGAGACUUCGCAGAGUCAAGGCCCGCUCCCUGGGACCCGCAGCCCGGCCCGUCCGCCCGGCUGACCUCAGUAACCAGCACCAGGCACAAGUCCUGGGGCUGCCCCCCAGGGCCACAGGUGACAUGGGGUCUCACCUCCGAGAAGGCCCCAGGAAGAGCUGAGAAGGCCUUUUCUGGAGGAAUGGAGGAAGAGCGCAAGGAGCCAGUCAGGACUUGAGGGAAAGGAAGAAUAGAAGAUGUCUAGAAGAGCAGGAAACGGGGUGGAGGCCUGGUGACAGAAGGGAGCAGUCGAGGAGGCGUGGGCGCAGCCUGGCCCGUGCGUGGAAGGACCUCGGCGUGGGCGGGAGACGUUAAGGGGACCGGGGGGGCUGAGGAGUCAGGGACCCAUCGCCGGACCACAGUCAUUCCACAGUUUCUGCUGGAAUAUAAAUGACUUUCCCAUGGAUCCACCGCCCAAAGCCACCUGCAGUAUCUUUGUUUCCUUUAUCCUGAGGGAAGAAGCCGCUUCUGACUGUCCCAGAGAGGAACUCCUGAGAGAAGAAAGACUGUGUGGUUGCAUCUCCAGGACGUCCCCACUUAGUGCCACCAAGCAGGGGAGUGGCUGUGGCACAAGGCUGGCACCUGCACCGUGAGACCCUCCAUCAGUGUCCGCAGCAACAACUUCUCAGAGCCUCUGAUGGGAUAUUUUGUGUUGUGACUCUUGGGAAGGUGGGUACAGCAUGCACUGUUCUUCUGCCAUAUGUGACCACAGAAUCCUUUUUUCAAAUACUCCCUGAAAAUCUGCAGAACACAGUUUAGGGACCACUGCCCCAAGUUGGAAGGAACAGUGUAGACUGGGGAAUUCUUCACUGCCACACCAGUUGAGGGCAGGGCCAGGGUGUUAGGACACUUCAAGGGGACUUGAAGGCAUCACUGUACAUAGUCAAUCACAUGAAAAAGCAAAGGACCUUGUCAGGUGUGGAGCGGACCCUUGUUUAUGGAGUCACCAUUUGUAGUUUACAGCUGACCUAGUUGUAUCCUGCCUACCUCCAGGGGGCGCCAUUCAUAAGACCCUGGGUUGACUGAGGCCCUUUGGAGUCCAGCGAGGCAGUAGGAGCCCUCCAAAAACAGGUUUAUGUUUUAAACUGUAAAAACUAAAACAGAGUUACAGAGCUGUUGGCCAGAAUGUCCAGCACAGUCUCUCUCACCCUUGAGUACAUCCAUUGACUCUCGUUUUUUCUGUUAGUGCAGCUUCUCGGGGUGGGAGUGGGUAAGGCUCUUAAGUUUUCAGACUCAGACCCCAGACUUGGUUCCAUCAUUGCUUAUCCCACCAAGCUGAGGCGAAUAAGGCGUAUUAAAGCUCUUAUCAAUGUGAUCAACAGUCGCUUUGUGGAAGCUACAUCCUGCUGCAGCUCCCUGCCCUCAGACUUCGGUACCCAGGUUCUGAAAGAGGGUACUGUGCCUAAACUUAACGAUUUGCUCUGAGCCUGAGAGAGGCGGGACCCCUGAACACUGCACUCUACCCAGAAUUCCUUUCACUUGUUUCUAAACAUUUUUUGCUGUCAUAUAUAAGCAUUAAGUAAUUUCUUGGAUUAAAACUCUCAUCAUCCUGGA